CAACCUUAAUUUAUUUGAUCAAUAACAAAAAAAGGUAUGGUGGUGCUAUUAUUUUUUUCGCAAAGGAACUCAAAAAAUUUAUGUUGAACACCAACGUGGGUGCAAUUUGAAAUAAAAGCUUAAGGUGAAAAAGUGCAAGCAAAGAGAGAACAGCGCAAAAAAAUCAACGAAAAAAAAACAAAUAUACAAGUUUUGUUCCCCUUGUUUAUUGGAUGGCAAAAUGUGAGGGAAUGAAACCACUUACGAUACUUUCCAUAAAGUACCUAUGCAUUCCAUCUACUUCGACUGGGUCUGAAAGGACCUUUAGUAAGGCUGGUCAGAUUAUAUCUGAUCGAAGAUCCUCACUAAAACCAAAAGGGAUAGUAAUGCUACUUUUCAUCAACAAAAACCAAAACAUGUGAUCUCUUAUUUUAAAUAUUGUUGAAUGAAUGAAAUAAAACUUUU